rnacentral:misc_RNA from 1 species
GAUGAAGCACGUAGCGAAAUGCGAUAAGUAAUGUGAAUUGCAGAAUUCAGUGAAUCAUCGAAUCUUUGAACGCACAUUGCGCCCGCCAGUAUUCUGGCGGGCAUGCCUGUUCGAGCGUCAUUACAACCCUCAGGCCCCCGGGCCUGGCGUUGGGGAUCGGCGGAGCCCCCCGUGGGCACACGCCGUCCCCCAAAUACAGUGGCGGUCCCGCCGCAGCUUCCAUCGCGUAGUAGCUAACACCUCGCGACUGGAGAGCGGCGCGGCCACGCCGUAAAACACCCAACUCUUCUGAAGUUGACCUCGAAUCAGGUAGGAAUACCCGCUGAACUUAAGCAUACAAUAAGCGGAGGA